rnacentral:rRNA from 1 species
GGGAACUGCCGGUGAUAAACCGGAGGAAGUGGGACGACGUCAAGUCAUCAGGCCCUUAUGUCCAGGGCUACACACGUGCUACAAUGGCCGGUACAAUGAGUCGCAAGACCGCGAGGUGGAGCCAAUCUCAAAAAACCGGUCUCAGUUCGGAUUGGAGUCUGCAACUCGACUCCAUGAAGUUGGAAUCGCUAGUAAUCGUGGAUCAGAACGCUACGGUGAAUACGUUCCCGGGCCUU